rnacentral:rRNA from 1 species
CACCGGCGGCUCGAGGGGUGGACACUUUUAUUGGGUCUAAAGCGGCCGGAGCCGGCUUGGCAAGUCCCCUGGGAAAUCUGGCGGCUUAACCGUCAGGCGUCCAGAGGAUACUGCCAGGCUUGGGACCGGGAGAGGUGAGAGGUACCUCAGGGGUAGGGGUGAAAUCUUGUGAUCCCUGAGGGACCACCAGUGGCGAAGGCGUCUCACUAGAACGGGUCCGACGGUCAGGGACGAAAGCUGGGGGCACGAACCGU